rnacentral:rRNA from 1 species
AUUGAACGCUGGCGGCAGGCCUAUCACAUGCAAGUCGAACGAGUGGCGGACGGGUGAGUAAUGUCUGGGACACUGCCUGAUGGAGGGGGAUAACUACUGGAAACUGUAGCUAAUACCGCAUAACCUCUGAUGUGCACAGAUUGGAGUAGCUAUUAGGGGGGGUAAAGGCUCACCUAGGCGACGAUCCCUAGCUGGUCUGAGAGGAUGACCAGCCACACUGGAACUGAGACACGGUCCAGACUCCUACGGUAGGCAGCAGUGGGGAAUAUUGGACAAUGGGCGCAAGCCUGAUGCAGCCAUGCCGCGUGUAUGAAGAAGGCCUUCGGGUUGUAAAGUACUUUCAGCGGGGAGGCGUUACCCGCAGAAGAAGCACCGGCUAACUCCGUGCCAGCAGCCGCGGUAAUAC